GUCGCAUGGUGGGGGGUGGAAAGGGUUUGACUGGUUUUGGAUGGGCUCACGGCCUAUCAGCUUGUUGGUGGGGUAAUGGCUCACCAAGGCGACGACGGGUAGCCGGCCUGAGAGGGUGACCGGCCACACUGGGACUGAGACACGGCCCAGACUCCUACGGGAGGCAGCAGUGGGGAAUAUUGCACAAUGGGCGGAAGCCUGAUGCAGCGACGCCGCGUGAGGGAUGACGGCCUUCGGGUUGUAAACCUCUUUCAGCAGGGAAGAAGCCACAAGUGACGGUACCUGCAGAAGAAGCGCCGGCUAACUACGUGCCAGCAGCCGCGGUAAUACGUAGGGCGCAAGCGUUGUCCGGAAUUAUUGGGCGUAAAGAGCUCGUAGGCGGUUUGUCGCGUCUGCUGUGAAAGCCCGGGGCUCAACCCCGGGUCUGCAGUGGGUACGGGCAGACUAGAGUGCAGUAGGGGAGACUGGAAUUCCUGGUGUAGCGGUGAAAUGCGCAGAUAUCAGGAGGAACACCGAUGGCGAAGGCAGGUCUCUGGGCUGUUACUGACGCUGAGGAGCGAAAGCAUGGGGAGCGAACAGGAUUAGAUACCCUGGUAGUCCAUGCCGUAAACGUUGGGCACUAGGUGUGGGGGACAUUCCACGUUCUCCGCGCCGUAGCUAACGCAUUAAGUGCCCCGCCUGGGGAGUACGGCCGCAAGGCU
rnacentral:rRNA from 1 species